CCUACGGGCGGCAGCAGUGGGGAAUAUUGGGCAAUGGGCGCAAGCCUGACCCAGCAAUGCCGCGUGAAGGAAGAAGGCUUUCGGGUUGUACACUUCUUUGACAGGGGAAGAGCAGAAGACGGUACCCUGAAAACAAGCCACGACUAACUACGUGCCACCAGCCGCGGUAAUACGUAGGUGGCAAGCGUUGUCCGGAUUUACUGGGUGUAAAGGGCGUGUAGCCGGGAAGGCAAGUCAGAUGUGAAAUCUGGAGGCUCAACCUCCAAAUUGCAUUUGAAACUGUUUUUCUUGAGUACUGGAGAGGCAGACGGAAUUCCUUGUGGAGCGGUGAAAUGCGUAGAUAUAAGGAGGAACACCAGUGGCGAAGGCGGUCUGCUGGACAGCAACUGACGGUGAGGCGCGAAAGCGUGGGGAGCAAACAGGAUUAGAUACCCCAGUAGUC
rnacentral:rRNA from 1 species